ensembl:lncRNA
CCCUGUGCCGGCUUGUUGCAGUGGAGCGGUGCUGGCGUGACAGUCGUCUUGGAGAUGAGCAACCUCUUGGGGUCCAUGCUUGUAGGGUCAAAUGCUGCUCCAGGGAUGCUUUUUUGGCAGCCAGCAUCCCACCACCAAGCCUGGACCACCAUGGCUGUUAAGAGCCGAUGCUGAAUGGAAUCACUGCCGUGUCUUCAUCCCAGUGUUUUCUGGGUGAGAACAGCUUUUCAUUUGAGAAACUUCAAGGUGUUUUGGAAACAGCAAAGUAACAGCAGCUCUGUCAUCCUGCUCAGAGCCACGUCCUUCAUCUCAAAGGUGAUGCUCUCCAUGAGGUUUGCUUUGCUCCUUCUGUAGGGAUGGACUGACCUCAGCAAGAGGAAUGUGUCUGAAAGCCAUAGGAGCUGUAUCUUCAUCACGGCCAUUUCUUCCAUCACAGAGCUCCCAUGGGACAUCUCUCAGGAAAACAAGACGGGAUGCAUCGGAGAACCGGCAACACAUAUCCGCCAGAUAAUUAGAUUGAAAGAAAAC